AGGUCACUGCUAUUGGGAUCCGAUUAAGCCAUGCGAGUCGAGAGGGUUCGGCCCUCGGCGGACUGCUCAGUAACACGUGGACAAUCUGCCCUUAGGUGGAGGAUAAUCUCGGGAAACUGAGGAUAAUACUCCAUAGGUCUAGGAGGCUGGAAUGCACCUAGGCUUAAAACUCCGGUGCCUAAGGAUGAGUCUGCGGACUAUCAGGUAGUAGUCAGGGUAAUGACCUGACUAGCCUACGACGGAUACGGGUUGUGAGAGCAAUAACCCGGAGACGAUAUCUGAGACACGAUAUCGGGCCCUACGGGGCGCAGCAGGCGCGAAACCUUCACACUGUGCGAAAGCGCGAUGAGGGGAUCCCAAGUGCUUGCUCUUAGGAGUAAGCUGUUUCUCUGUUUAAAACGCAGGGAGAGGAAGGGCUGGGUAAGACGGGUGCCAGCCGCCGCGGUAAUACCUGCAGCUCAAGUGGUGACCGCUAUUAUUGGGCCUAAAACGUUCGUAGCCGGCUGAGUAAAUGCCUGGGUAAAUCGUGCCGCUUAACGGUACGAAUUCCGGGUAGACUGCUUAGCUUGAGACCGGGAGAAGCUAGAGGUACUCCUGGGGUAGGGGGUGAAAUCCUGUAAUCCUGGGGGGACCACCAGUGGCGAAGGCGUCUAGCUAGAACGGGUCUGACGGUGAGGAACGAAACCCUGGGGCGCAAACCGGAUUAGAUACCCGGGUAGUCCAGGGCGCAGACGCUGCUUGCUUGAUGUUAGCUGGGCUCCGAGCUCAGCUAGUGUCGGAGUGAAGAUGUUAAGCAAGCUGCCUGGGAAGUACGAUCGCAAGAUUGAAACUUAAAGGAAUUGGCGGGGGAGCACAGCAACGGGUGGAGCGUGCGGUUUAAUUGGAUUCAACGCCGGGAAU
rnacentral:rRNA from 1 species